GAGAGGACAGUCCCCAGGCCUUGCUAAGCAUGCGUGGUAUCAAGAGGUGCAUUGAGGCGCUCCUGCAGCCUCCUCCCGGCACGGGACUCCUCACAACCCCCAGCCUCAGCUUCCCUGACAGGGCAGGGGCUCACUCUUCUCCACUCCGGGCCAGGAACGCAGCCUGCUUGCCUUUUGUCCAAUUGGGUGCUCUUUCUUUGCGACUGAUACAAAGUGGGAACAAACUCCGCUUCCGGUGAUGCCCGGGCCCCAGGAGGCUGGGGGAGAAGUGCACGCUGCCCAGCCUUCAACCUGAACUGCCCCCAGCACUUCCGAGCCCCGACCCCUGCAGCUGUGAGGGAAGCCCCGACCUCUGCCCUGGCCACAUCCUUCCCCUGAUCUCAUGGCUGAAAAGCCACACCAGAAUUCCUGCAAUUCAGUGAGGCAGCUCUUCAAAACCAAGCAGCUGGUGACGCACAGGGACAGAGGGUAGGCCUGCGGGGGAGAGGGCGGGAAAGGCCCUCACAGCAGGGCCCAGAGGAAGACUGACCCCAGGCUGAGCAGGAGCUGUACGCACAGGGCCCAGGGGCUGCUGGCUGCCAGGACCACCGCAUUGCAGAGGUCUCCCUUGCAGCAAGAGAUCUGGGAGUCCACAACGGCACUUAACCUGCCCUCUGCCCUGGCACCCCAGGGACUCACUGCCAAAGACGCUCACUUUCUGGGAGACACAGACCCCAUCCAGGAAGGGGCACGAGACCACGCUGCAGGAGGCCCCUUCCAAGACCGCCAAGCAUCUGUAGCAGCGCAGACCCUGAGCUGGGAGAGAGGGCAAGAAAACACACCCCUGGUGGAGAUUUAAGAUGCUAAUGACACAUGCGACGUAUGAGCAAGCAGGUGCAGCUACUGCACGUGUGCACCCAGAGGACCCCCCCAGAACAUGCUUCCUAGCAACACCUCUGCCCACCCGCUGAUUCUCUCGGCACCACGGGAACCACCUUCUCUACUCUCACUGAACACCCCUGGGAUGUAUCUGUAAAAAUUGGAACACCUUUCGGCUAGAAACCAGAGGAAGCCGCUCAUGACACCCGGGAGCUCACAGAGGCUCUGAAGUUUCUAUUCAAGAAAACAACUCCAGAUGGGGCUGAUCUGGAAGACAAGUAACAUCUUCCUUUUCUUGGUGCUCGCCUGCCGUGCUCUAGGUGCUUUUAGAGAUGCUGGUCUGUGUGCUAGGGAAGCGAUGAACCAUACUGUUAGUCUAUUAAACAUAACUCAACCUGG
ensembl:lncRNA LY6S-AS1 LY6S antisense RNA 1